UGGGGAAUAUUGCACAAUGGGCGCAAGCCUGAUGCAGCCAUGCCGCGUGUAUGAAGAAGGCCUUCGGGUUGUAAAGUACUUUCAGCGGGGAGGAAGGGAGUAAAGUUAGUACCUUUGCUCCUUGACGUUACCCGCAGAAGAAGCACCGGCUAACUCCGUGCCAGCAGCCGCGGUAAUACGGAGGGUGCAAGCGUUAAUCGGAAUUACUGGGCGUAAAGCGCACGCAGGCGGUUUGUUAAGUCAGAUGUGAAAUCCCCGGGCUCAACCUGGGAACUGGAUCUGAUACUGGCAAGCUUGAGUCUCGUAGAGGGGGGUAGAAUUCCAGGUGUAGCGGUGAAAUGCGUAGAGAUCUGGAGGAAUACCGGUGGCGAAGGCGGCCCCCUGGACGAAGACUGACGCUCAGGUGCGAAAGCGUGGGGAGCAAACAGG
rnacentral:rRNA from 1 species